GAGACGUAUCACCCUCUUUCCUCUCUCCCCGCCCGCGCAGCUCUCUUCCCCACCGGCGCUGCCCUCCACUCACCUUCUGUUCUUUAAGCGGGGACGCCCCAGAUCGAGUCGAGCAAGUCAGCGGGGCAGCGACCAGAUCAGCCACGGCCACAUCUCGUCGAGAUGGGCCGCGCCGGGAGAGGUAGAUCGAGGCGGUGGGCACCGUGUGCGUCUUGUCUCCUGGGACGCCGCUACGACCCGAUCAGGCGAGGAGGCAAUCUCCGUGUGCGGCAACGAGGGCGGGGGCCGGUUGCGCGAGAGGGAUGGCGCCCCGUGUCUGCGCCCCAUAAGCUUGGACGGAGCUCCGACGAGGCCAUGUUGGUCUUGCAGAUGAGCUCCAAACGUGGCCAAUCCUCUGAAGAUUCAAUGGAAUCUGAUGUUAAUGCCUGCAGGCUACAGUUGUUGAUCACUCAGAGUGUAUUGGUGCCAAUGCUGCAUUUGGAGUUGGAGAGGCCCAGGCCACCUGCUGCAAGAGGCAAAUGGUCACCUACAGCCGCAGGAGAGGAUCACAGGUGUUCUUCCGGCAGUUUCAAUUUAGUCGGGCGGUUGCCAUCAUCGUGAGACUGCCGACUGGAGGAACUACAAUGGCUCUUUGUUCCAGCCAUAUCCGAUCCCUCGGGGGCUGGAGCUUUCCGGUCACCUAAAGAGCACGGUGCACGCGGCGUGCCGUUGGAGUCGGCCUGGACGGGGACACGGGCCACCAGUAUGUGCUCGUUGUCACACUCCUGGAACCCCUCAAGCAGCUCCUGCCCAUGCGUCAUGCAUGACGGCAUCUUAACAAUAUCGUUAGAUGUGAAUCGCAUCAAAAUCGGAAUCAGUGUGCGCGCUAAUGUGGCGUGUUAGCCCCUUUGCUACACUGUGAUUGACUAAUGGUUAGAUGGUUGAUGCUGCAGUCUGAUGAGGUCUCAGGGGUGUGGCUUCUGCUGAAUUUUCGACACCACCAACUCCUGGAGGGGAGGUGGGAUGGCCGGCAGCGGCAUUCUAUUCGGGGUUGCGUCGAUCUGGUGAUGCUGGAGCACGGCAACGGGAAACAUCACCUCCACCACGACAUUUCAAGUAGCCAAUUUACCUUUCUCCCUAAGGAUUUCUUACUCUGCUGUCAGUAUCACUGGGCAUGGGGUUUAGAUUUUGUUAAUAUCAAAAUCUGGGUACUUACCAGCAAACGAGUUGUUGAUCUAUUUACUUAGUCAAGUUCAUUUCUGCUAUACCCUGCAAAAGUAGUUCAUUGCUGCUAUAUUCUUCCGUCAAGCUUCAGAUUCUAGCCUUGAUUAAAUGGCAAUGAUAUUCUCCAUAACCUACUAUAUCAGAAAUCCUGCUACAAAACAUGAUUUCCAGAAUUGUGUGGUGGAUCUGGUUUAUAUAACAUGGUUUGCCAACCGCUAUGAGCACUGAUUAGUGUGUGGCAGCCGCUUUUUAUGAUUAGAAUGAAGAUUUGAGAUGUACGUGUAGGUCAAAUUUUGCAAAACUAUGGGCCCGCAGUUAGAAAAUUAUAUGUAGGCAAUUUUACGGUUUUCUGAGACUAAGGAUUCAAGAAUGAAUUUGAAUAUAGUUUCAUGGUUUUUUUGCUCACAAGUUUUCUUAUAUUUACUCCUCUUUCUAUGAUAUUGGAGUUUAUAUGCUUACUUAACUGUUCAAAGAUACAUGUUUGUUUAUCGAUUGGAAGUUACUACAUAUAAGCUUGAGUCCAUGUGCACUGACACACUGUUUGGAACAAAAUAGAACAUAUUACAGUCUGGUGGUUAAACUACUCCUUACCCUGGCAUUCUAAUAAUCUGUAAUAAUGAUAGUUGGCAUUGGUCAUGCAAGAUCACUUGCACGAAAUUGAGUACUUCAUUGCUUCUGUUUAUUUUACAUUUUUUUAUUUACUGCGAUUUGCCAAGCAAAAGUACUAGCAUAACGGAAUAUUUGUAUGUGUUGUUUACAAAGUGAACAUAGUCUGAUGGGAAAGCUCCUGAAUCAAUGUCACAUUAGGAAAUAACUGUCUUGAAGGAGUUGAAACGAAUUGAUCACAUCCUCAUGUGUCUUUGCAAGGUGCAACGGAGCCGUCAGACAAAAGGAAGAUGGGGGCACAUGAGAUGUCCUGACCACUGCUUAGUCCCAAGAAUGGGAGUAACAAUGCUUCUAAAGUUCUGCUGCUAUAUUGUACUCGGAAAUUUGCCUUCUGCCCUCCCCUCCACCCUUUCCGGAUAGCUAUAUCCCACCAUCAGCAUUAGAACAAGAGAAAGAGGCAGAUGAUCUAUUGCCACAGAGGCAUUGCUUCCUGCAGUUGACCAUAUUAUUGAUCAAUGGCUAGCAAAAAUACAGAAAUUACAAUGAGAUUGUACCGUGGAUCAAGUAAACUGUGUAAUUUGUGAGCUGGGACGACGACGAUAGAGAAGAAGACAAUGUUGUCUAUUGUGCAUGAGGAUUUGGUACUCAUUUGACAUACGAGUAUAUGUACCUUCAAGCCUGAUUUUCUCGCCUUGCACGUUGUGUCCUUUUAGUUUUUUUUCCGUUGCAACGCACGGGCAUUUUUGCUAUUCUACUUAUGAUAAUUCAGUUUUGGUCUAUACAUGUGUUUGUACCAAGGUCUAAGACCUGGCUGAUGAUAUAUUUUGAAAUAAUGAUUAUUAUCUAUACUUUUUUGGUA